rnacentral:rRNA from 1 species
UACAGAGACUGCAAGCGUUAUUCGGAUUCACUGGGCGUAAAGGGUGCGCAGGCGGUUGGGUGUGUCAGAUGUGAAAUCCCGAGGCUUAACCUCGGAACUGCGUCUGAAACUACUCGACUAGAGUACUGGAGAGGGUAACGGAAUUCACGGUGUAGCAGUGAAAUGCGUAGAUAUUAGGAAGAACACCAGUGGCGAAGGCGGCUCACUGGCCCGGUACUGACGCUGAGGCGCGAAAGCGUGGGGAGCAAACAGG